GGGGAAGGCAAGGUCCAGGACUGUUCUAGAGGGAAGGGAGAGAGAACUACUCAGGCGCCAGAGAGGAGCCGGUGCUGUCGGAGAUCCUUUAAUGAGUUGCCCAGCCCUGGUCAAGGAGAGGAUCAAGGAGAGGCUGUCUCUGGCCAGGGUCUUACUCUUCUUGGACCAAGUGGUAUGUAUCUGGCUGGGGAGACAGUGGGGACCCUUGCUAGUCCACAGCAAAUGUACAUCACCAAGCACUGGAGGUCAUGGAUCCUUCCUGGACGGAAAAAGUGACCAGGAGCUGGAUCAAAAUGAAAGGAUUCAGCCAGAGCCACCAAGGAUGGCCGGGUCCUGAGGUCAGCAAUGGUGACAUAAAGUCUGCAGUUGUGAUUGGGAGGGUUUCAGCUCGGGAUGUGAAGGACAAAGCCUAGAGACCCAGUGGGCAAGGAUGGGUGUGCACAGA
ensembl:lncRNA